rnacentral:lncRNA from 1 species
GGGCACAAGAAGCUGUCCUAGAAAUAGCUCAUCCUAGGCCCAGGUGCACCCACUUGGGGUGCUGGGAUAUGAUCUGACUUUGGGAGUUUCCUGAGCUUUCCAGGUACCUCCAAUGCUCAGCCUAAGUGGAGGUCACAUUGUAGAAGUUCCCAGGACACAUGGCUCUGAGGGCUCCAAGCUUGUCCCCUCACAGCUGUCCCCCUACGGCUUUAUCCUGUGUUCUUCCUAUCCAUCUACCCCGUUAGGCCUUGUACACACCUGGUCUUCCAGCCCAGUGAUGCACGUGCAACUUUUAUUUCACAAGUUUACCAGUCCUUAUGUGAGUACACUACAUAAAGCAUGUGCUGUCCAUGCCUGUGAUCCCAGCUCUUGGGAGGCAGAGGCAGAAAGAGCAAAUGUUCAAGGUCAUCAUCGACUACACAACAAGCUCAGGGUGAGCCUUGAAUACAUCAGACCUUAUCUCAAAAGAAAUAAGCAGCAGCAAAAGGCAGGGCCGGAAGCUUCCUGUAUGAUAAUACGUCACUUUAUGCUGGUGAUAUGUUCUGAGAAGUACGUCACUAGGUGAUUGUCACUGUGGGAACACCACAGUAUUACUAGGUAGCUGGAACUUUUUAGCAUCACUGGCCGAUGGAGCCACUGUCAUCCAGGCAGUAUGUCACUGACUGAGACAUUAUUGUGUGGCAGUGAUGGUCCCAGACUGGACAAGUGUAUAAAGCUCUGAGAACGA